ACGAACGCUGGCGGCGUGCUUAACCCCUGCCAGUCGAACGGAAAGGCCCUGCUUUUGUGGGGUGCUCGAGUGGCGAACGGGUGAGUAACACGUGAGUAACCUGCCCUUGACUUUGGGAUAACUUCAGGAAACUGGGGCUAAUACCGGAUAGGAGCUCCUGCUGCAUGGUGGGGGUUGGAAAGUUUCGGCGGUUGGGGAUGGACUCGGGGGUUAUCAGCUUGUUGGUGGGGUAGUGGCUUACCAAGGCUUUGACGGGUAGCCGGCCUGGGCGGGUGACCGGGGACAAGGGGACUGAGGGAGGGCCCAGGGGCCAACGGGGGGCAAAAGGGGGGAAUAUGGCCCAAUGGGCGGGAGGCUGAUGCAGCAACGUCGGGGGCGGGAUGACGGUCUUCGGGGUGUAAACCGCUUUCGGCUGUGACGAAGCGGGAGUGACGGUAAUGGGUAAAGAAGCACCGGCUAACUACGUG
rnacentral:rRNA from 1 species